rnacentral:rRNA from 1 species
UACGGAGGGGGACUAGCGUUGUUCGGAAUUACUGGGCGUAAAGCGCACGUAGGCGGAUUUGUAAGUCAGGGGUGAAAUCCCGGGGCUCAACCUCGGAACUGCCUUUGAUACUGCAAAUCUCGAGUCCGGAAGAGGUGAGUGGAAUUCCUAGUGUAGCGGUGAAAUGCGCAGAUAUCAGGAAGAACACCAAUGGCGAAAGCAGCUUUCUGGGACGGUACUGACGCUGAGACGCGAAAGCGUGGGGAGCGAACAGG